rnacentral:rRNA from 3 species
AAUCCAUAGGUUAAUGAGGCGAACCGGGGGAACUGAAACAUCUAAGUACCCCGAGGAAAAGAAAUCAACCGAGAUUCCCCCAGUAGCGGCGAGCGAACGGGGAGGAGCCCAGAGCCUGAAUCAGCAUGUGUGUUAGUGGAAGCGUCUGGAAAGGCGCGCGAUACAGGGUGACAGCCCCGUACACAAAAGCGCAUGUGCUGUGAGCUCGAUGAGUAGGGCGGGACACGUGGUAUCCUGUCUGAAUAUGGGGGGACCAUCCUCCAAGGCUAAAUACUCCUGACUGACCGAUAGUGAACCAGUACCGUGAGGGAAAGGCGAAAAGAACCCCGGCGAGGGGAGUGAAAAAGAACCUGAAACCGUGUACGUACAAGCAGUGGGAGCCCCACCACCAAAGCAUUUGCUGUACCGCGUUGACGGAGCGAAGCGACGUCAAACCGAUAAAACAGCAGUGUAAAGUGAGCCGCAGGGCGCUUUGCGCGA